UGCCAUUCUCAUCCCUGUUUAUAUAUUUGUCAUAUGUUUUGAUUUAUAUGCUAACUAUAUCUUUAUAAUUUAUCUUCCACAAUUAAUUUCCAAAAGAUAGGUAUUAUGAGUGUUCUUUGAUAACAAGAUAUGUGGUUGUAGAUAUAUAUUGCAAAAAAUUAACAGUUUUCUUUAAAAGGAAAAACUCCAGAAUUGAUUGUGCCAUUUUGAUGUAUUAUAUUCACCUUGGUAGCCCACCAAGCAGGAAUAUUUUUCUAACAAAACUGUUGAAAUUGAGUGAUGAAAUUAAUGGUUUUGGAGUUGCUAUACUGCCAAAAUGUUUCCAUGGAGCUUUUCCC